rnacentral:rRNA from 1 species
GGGGAAUAUUGCACAAUGGGCGAAAGCCUGAUGCAGCGACGCCGCGUGAGUGAAGAAGGUCUUCGGAUCGUAAAACUCUGUCCUUGGUGAAGAAAGAAAUGACGGUAGCCAAGGAGGAAGCCCCGGCUAACUACGUGCCAGCAGCCGCGGUAAUACGUAGGGGGCUAGCGUUGUCCGGAUUUACUGGGCGUAAAGGGUGAGUAGGCGGUUACAUAAGUCAGAUGUAAAAGGCUAAGGCUUAACCAUAGUAUGCAUUUGAAACUGUGUGACUUGAGUACAGGAGAGGUAAGUGGAAUUCCUAGUGUAGCGGUGAAAUGCGUAGAUAUUAGGAGGAACACCAGUGGCGAAGGCGACUUACUGGACUGUAACUGACGCUGAGUCACGAAAGCGUGGGUAGCAAACA